GGGUUGUGAGGUUAAGCGACUAAGCGUACACGGUGGAUGCCCUGGCAGUCAGAGGCGAUGAAGGACGUGCUAAUCUGCGAUAAGCGUCGGUAAGGUGAUAUGAACCGUUAUAACCGGCGAUUUCCGAAUGGGGAAACCCAGUGUGAUUCGUCACACUAUCAUUAACUGAAUCCAUAGGUUAAUGAGGCGAACCGGGGGAACUGAAACAUCUAAGUACCCGAGGAAAAGAAAUCAACCGAGAUUCCCCAGUAGCGGCGAGCGAACGGGGAGCAGCCCAGAGCCUGAAUCAGUGUGUGUGUUAGUGGAAGCGUCUGGAAAGGCGUGCGAUACAGGGUGACAGCCCCGUACACAAAAAUGCACAUACUGUGAGCUCGAUGAGUAGGGCGGGACACGUGGUAUCCUGUCUGAAUAUGGGGGGACCAUCCUCCAAGGCUAAAUACUCCUGACUGACCGAUAGUGAACCAGUACCGUGAGGGAAAGGCGAAAAGAACCCCGGCGAGGGGAGUGAAAAAGAACCUGAAACCGUGUACGUACAAGCAGUGGGAGCACGCUUAGGCGUGUGACUGCGUACCUUUUGUAUAAUGGGUCAGCGACUUAUAUUCUGUAGCAAGGUUAACCGAAUAGGGGAGCCGAAGGGAAACCGAGUCUUAACUGGGCGUUAAGUUGCAGGGUAUAGACCCGAAACCCGGUGAUCUAGCCAUGGGCAGGUUGAAGGUUGGGUAACACUAACUGGAGGACCGAACCGACUAAUGUUGAAAAAUUAGCGGAUGACUUGUGGCUGGGGGUGAAAGGCCAAUCAAACCGGGAGAUAGCUGGUUCUCCCCGAAAGCUAUUUAGGUAGCGCCUCGUGAAUUCAUCUCCGGGGUAGAGCACUGUUUCGGCAAGGGGGUCAUCCCGACUUACCAACCCGAUGCAAACUGCGAAUACCGGAGAAUGUUAUCACGGGAGACACACGGCGGGUGCUAACGUCCGUCGUGAAGAGGGAAACAACCCAGACCGCCAGCUAAGGUCCCAAAGUCAUGGUUAAGUGGGAAACGAUGUGGGAAGGCCCAGACAGCCAGGAUGUUGGCUUAGAAGCAGCCAUCAUUUAAAGAAAGCGUAAUAGCUCACUGGUCGAGUCGGCCUGCGCGGAAGAUGUAACGGGGCUAAACCAUGCACCGAAGCUGCGGCAGCGACGCUUAUGCGUUGUUGGGUAGGGGAGCGUUCUGUAAGCCUGUGAAGGUGUGCUGUGAGGUAUGCUGGAGGUAUCAGAAGUGCGAAUGCUGACAUAAGUAACGAUAAAGCGGGUGAAAAGCCCGCUCGCCGGAAGACCAAGGGUUCCUGUCCAACGUUAAUCGGGGCAGGGUGAGUCGACCCCUAAGGCGAGGCCGAAAGGCGUAGUCGAUGGGAAACAGGUUAAUAUUCCUGUACUUGGUGUUACUGCGAAGGGGGGACGGAGAAGGCUAUGUUGGCCGGGCGACGGUUGUCCCGGUUUAAGCGUGUAGGCUGGUUUUCCAGGCAAAUCCGGAAAAUCAAGGCCGAGGCGUGAUGACGAGGCACUACGGUGCUGAAGCAACAAAUGCCCUGCUUCCAGGAAAAGCCUCUAAGCAUCAGGUAACAUCAAAUCGUACCCCAAACCGACACAGGUGGUCAGGUAGAGAAUACCAAGGCGCUUGAGAGAACUCGGGUGAAGGAACUAGGCAAAAUGGUGCCGUAACUUCGGGAGAAGGCACGCUGAUACGUAGGUGAAGCGACUUGCUCGUGGAGCUGAAAUCAGUCGAAGAUACCAGCUGGCUGCAACUGUUUAUUAAAAACACAGCACUGUGCAAACACGAAAGUGGACGUAUACGGUGUGACGCCUGCCCGGUGCCGGAAGGUUAAUUGAUGGGGUUAGCGCAAGCGAAGCUCUUGAUCGAAGCCCCGGUAAACGGCGGCCGUAACUAUAACGGUCCUAAGGUAGCGAAAUUCCUUGUCGGGUAAGUUCCGACCUGCACGAAUGGCGUAAUGAUGGCCAGGCUGUCUCCACCCGAGACUCAGUGAAAUUGAACUCGCUGUGAAGAUGCAGUGUACCCGCGGCAAGACGGAAAGACCCCGUGAACCUUUACUAUAGCUUGACACUGAACAUUGAGCCUUGAUGUGUAGGAUAGGUGGGAGGCUUUGAAGUGUGGACGCCAGUCUGCAUGGAGCCGACCUUGAAAUACCACCCUUUAAUGUUUGAUGUUCUAACGUGGACCCGUGAUCCGGGUUGCGGACAGUGUCUGGUGGGUAGUUUGACUGGGGCGGUCUCCUCCUAAAGAGUAACGGAGGAGCACGAAGGUUGGCUAAUCCUGGUCGGACAUCAGGAGGUUAGUGCAAUGGCAUAAGCCAGCUUGACUGCGAGCGUGACGGCGCGAGCAGGUGCGAAAGCAGGUCAUAGUGAUCCGGUGGUUCUGAAUGGAAGGGCCAUCGCUCAACGGAUAAAAGGUACUCCGGGGAUAACAGGCUGAUACCGCCCAAGAGUUCAUAUCGACGGCGGUGUUUGGCACCUCGAUGUCGGCUCAUCACAUCCUGGGGCUGAAGUAGGUCCCAAGGGUAUGGCUGUUCGCCAUUUAAAGUGGUACGCGAGCUGGGUUUAGAACGUCGUGAGACAGUUCGGUCCCUAUCUGCCGUGGGCGCUGGAGAACUGAGGGGGGCUGCUCCUAGUACGAGAGGACCGGAGUGGACGCAUCACUGGUGUUCGGGUUGUCAUGCCAAUGGCACUGCCCGGUAGCUAAAUGCGGAAGAGAUAAGUGCUGAAAGCAUCUAAGCACGAAACUUGCCCCGAGAUGAGUUCUCCCUGACCCUUUAAGGGUCCUGAAGGAACGUUGAAGACGACGACGUUGAUAGGCCGGGUGUGUAAGCGCAGCGAUGCGUUGAGCUAACCGGUACUAAUGAACCGUGAGGCUUAACCUUACAACGCCGAAG
rnacentral:rRNA from 1 species